rnacentral:rRNA from 1 species
AGUGAACGCUGGCGGUAGGCCUAACACAUGCAAGUCGAACGGCAGCACAGUAAGAGCUUGCUCUUACGGGUGGCGAGUGGCGGACGGGUGAGGAAUACAUCGGAAUCUACUUUUUCGUGGGGGAUAACGUGGGGAAACUUACGCUAAUACCGCAUACGACCUACGGGUGAAAGCAGGGGAUCUUCGGACCUUGCGCGAUUGAAUGAGCCGAUGUCGGAUUAGCUAGUUGGCGGGGUCAAGGCCCACCAAGGCGACGAUCCGUAGCUGGUCUGAGAGGAUGAUCCGCCCGACUGGAACUGAGACACGGUCCAGACUCCUACGGGAGGCAGCGGUGGGGAAUAUUGGACAAUGUGCGCAAGCCUGAUCCAGCCAUCCCGAGUGGGUGAAGAAGGCCUUCGGGUUGUAAAGCCCUACUGUUGGGAAAGAAAAGCAGCAGGUUAAUACCCCGCUGUUCUGACGUUACCAAAAUAAUAAGCACCGGCUAACUUCGUG